rnacentral:lncRNA from 1 species
UCACUUAGGCACCUGGAAGGUGUUCAGUAUAGAAAAAUUAUGAGCUAGAUGAGAUAACCAGCUUGAUGUCGACUUCCUCUCCAUCAGUGGCUGCCUGUCGUCUCGAUGCAUGCCAGCAGGUCAUUUCUAAGAGAAGAAGCUAUUAGUAGAUCGAGAAAUGGCUAUGGAACCAAGGAAGAAGGAUAGGAAGAACAGGAGGGGAAGUGAAGGAAAAGACAGAGAAACUUGGAGAACGGUAAACAGCAGAAGACAUCCUGGAGACCAAGACUCUAAAUGGUGCUAAGAAAAGAGCAACUCUCUACCAGGCAUCUAUGGUCUGCAGCUGUAAAACUACCAUGCUGGAGGAAUGUCUUAGCGAUUGGAAUUUCAUCUGAUGCUGAAAGGAAUGUGGAUGAGUGGAGCA